UGCAACAACUUGGGCAACAACAAGGUUGGGAGAUCCCAGCACAGCUGCUUGCACCACCACCACCACCAUAUCGUCGAGAGUCUACUCCGAUGAGUAUUACAUGCAUCGGGGGCGGCGUCCAACCAUGUCGGAGGGUCGCCAGGAUCGCACGGCGUGCUAUGCACACCUAGACCGUCGCUGGGAUCGCAAGCUGGGGCGUCCCAACCCUCGCCGGCAUCGCACACUGGACAGUCGCCGUGAGCUGCCUUGGGAGUUGUUUUUAUGUAUUAAACUUGUGAACUUAGAAUAAUAUGUACUCUUGAACGUGUGGUUUGUAAUAUAUUCUGAAUUUCGUAUAAAUUUGGUCAUUUGUGAUAUAUAUAAA